GUGAGAUACACAAGUUGGAUCGGAGUUACAACUGUUUUAGUAACUUUGCUUGUGUUGUUUUGACUACCUGCAUUCUGUUCUUAAACGGGUGCACGAAUGAAAAUGUCAAGAAGAUAUGCCAAGUCAGCUGCAAAAGUAAUUUGGAGAUGAAUACAUUGGAGUCUGAUUGGGGAUGUGACAUUGAGAGGAAACUGUCUGUGUGCUCUGAUGUGUGUAGUCAGUGGAACUAUACAACCCUCCAAGACUGUUUCAGCAGAUGUGGCUCUAGUUACAGUCUGUUGUGUGAGGUG